rnacentral:sRNA from 1 species
UACGAAUCUUAUCAGAUUUGGCGGCGGC